rnacentral:rRNA from 1 species
GACGAACGCUGGCGGCGUGCUUAACACAUGCAAGUCGAACGGAAAGGCCCUGCUUUUGUGGGGUGCUCGAGUGGCGAACGGGUGGGUAACACGUGAGUAACCUGCCCUUGACUUUGGGAUAACUUCAGGAAACUGGGGCUAAUACCGGAUAGGAGCUCCUGCUGCAUGGUGGGGGUGGGAACGUUUGGGCGGUUGGGGAUGGACUCGCGGCUUAUCAGAUUGUUGGUGGGGUAGUGGCUUACCAAGGCUUUGACGGGUAGCCGGCCUGAGAGGGUGACCGGCCCCAUCAGGACGGAGAUACGGCCCAGACUCCUCCGGGAGGCAGCAGUGGGGUAUGUUGCACAAUGGGCGGAAGCCUGAUGCAGCAAAGCCGCGUGCGGGAUGACGGCCUUCGGGUUGUAAUCCGCUUUCGCCUGUGACGAAGCGUGAGUGACGGUAAUGGGUAAAGAAGCCCCGGCUAACUACGUG